UCACACACAUGCACCUUUUUCAGUUACACAUUGCACACACCUCACAUUCUCGCCACGUCCACUGUACAAUUGAUAUUUACCAAUUACACUCCACCACACACACGCACAAAAAGCUUCUUCCACAGACCACAAUUCAAUUCACAUUUCACACAUUCCAACACUUUACACACACAAUCUGCACUUCACCGGCAACACAUUCAAUCGGAGAGAGAACCAGACUUUUCCAUCACUACUCAGAUCUAAGCGUAAGGGCAAAUCGAGUUAACGAGGGCUGCCUAUCGAAGCUCCGGUCAGAGGCUCUCCGUUUCGUCUAAUUUUUUAGGGAAUUCUCUAUUAAAGGUGCCACUGGAUGUUGGGGACCAUAAUGGUAACCUCAUUGUGGCAUUUGCAAUGUAUUUGGGUGGAACUACCAAUAACAUAUCAGAAGCCGAGGUUAUGUUUUUUUGGGGUGAAUUGCUGUCAAGAAAAUCAUUUCACAAACAUCAUCAUUGAAUUUGAUUCCCUCUUAAUAAUUAGGAUGUCAAAGAGAAAAUUGGAGGUACCUUGGCAAGUUAAGGAUUUUUGUAGAGAUUUGGCAACUAUGUAAAUUUGAUUUGUUCAUAAUGAUCAAAUUGUAUCUAGUCUUGUUCAGUCUACUUCCAAAUAAGUACUCAGCUAGGGGCUUCAACACUCACAUAAAGUUCUUGUUUUGACAAUUUAAAAGUUAGGAGAAGGUUUUUUACUAAUAAAUCGAUAUUCAAAUUCA